rfam:Rheum x cultorum photosystem II D2 protein (psbD) and photosystem II CP43 protein (psbC) genes, partial cds; chloroplast genes for chloroplast products.
AAUAACCAAAUAUAAUACUUGGGCUAAGGGUCAAGUUGGUAAUUUUUCUUACAUCUCCCCCUCCUGGAGCCCAGGUAUCAUAUAUGCCCCCCCCAAAAAUAGCUUUGAAUACWRRARGAAAAGCACCUAGACCUAACAAGAUUAAGUGAAUACCCAAAAUUGUGGUCAUUUUAUUUCUAUCUUUCCA